CUCAGGUGUUAGUUGUGGGCGGGGCCUCAGACGACAGCUUGGUCCACUAAUCGCAAAAGCAAUUAAUUUUAUUUUCUUAAACAUACAAACAAAAAAUAUAUAGAAAUUUGGUAAAUAUAUAACAUAAAAAUAUGAAGUGGUUUUAAAAAUUGAGGAUGUUUUAUUCUUAAUAACUUCGCUGGCACGCGGGAAGUGUCCUGUUUGAGGCCUACUCAUUUAGUUUAUUAUUUAGUAGCAUUUAGGCACAAAGACACAAUUUUCUAUGAUAGUCGGAUAAAUGUUGAAGUAAGAAGAUGAAAAUACCAAAAAAUGACGCUUUCUUCAGUUUCACUGUGGAAAGACCGCGGAGUGAAGUAUACACAGCAUGGUUUCUGUGGAUGGCCUGCGUGUCUUCAGCAGCGGCAGAAUCCUCUGAGGAACUGGCCUGACUCAUCUGCAUCUGUGACAGGUCAUGUCCAUGAGCUGGAGUGGAUAACCCGAAGCGCCCAAACCGGCCCACUAACACUCAAAUCUAUGUUUAAAGAUGCUGUCAGGUUUAAGAUGGAAAGGAAUCGCAUGGAAAAGUUGCUACCAAGUAAUUUCAGUGCAAGAAACAUUGUUUUGAAUCACCUGUGAUGAUGUGAUAAUGUGAAGGAAUAUCUGUAUUGUAUAAUAGGCUACCACUCAAAAGUUUGGAGUUAGUAAGGUUUUUUUUUUUUUUUUAAUAAAUGUUUUUGAAAUAAGUCUUUUAUGCACACCAAGG
ensembl:lncRNA